GCGACUGUAGUAUAGUGGUAGAAUGCGACCCUCCCAAGGUCGUGACCCGGGUUCGAAAUCCAAUAGUUUGAUUGACGAAAGUCCCGGCAGUCGCA
rnacentral:tRNA from 1 species